rnacentral:rRNA from 1 species
AUUGAACGCUGGCGGCAGGCUUAACACAUGCAAGUCGAACGGUAACAUAAAGAAGCUUGCUUCUUUGAUGACGAGUGGCGGACGGGUGAGUAAUGCUUGGGAAUCUAGCUUAUGGAGGGGGAUAACUACGGGAAACUGUAGCUAAUACCGCGUAGAAUCGGGAGAUGAAAGUGUGGGACCUUCGGGCCACAUGCCAUAGGAUGAGCCCAAGUGGGAUUAGGUAGUUGGUGAGGUAAAGGCUCACCAAGCCGACGAUCUCUAGCUGGUCUGAGAGGAUGACCAGCCACACUGGGACUGAGACACGGCCCAGACUCCUACGGGAGGCAGCAGUGGGGAAUAUUGCGCAAUGGGGGCAACCCUGACUGCAGCCAUGCCGCGUGAAUGAAGAAGGCCUUCGGGUUGUAAAGUUCUUUCGGUAGCGAGGAAGGCAUUUAGUUUAAUAAACUGGAU